UACGUUUAUGCAGAACAGACGGGGAUCAUCACACAAAACCAUAAUAAAACAGAUGGGGAUCGUCACACAAAUCCAUAACAAUCUCAUUACCAAAACUGAUGCACCAUUGUUCAACUCAACCAACAACAAUUUUCGCCAUUGCCCUUACACCUUUGACGCAGCACGCCCCAAAAUCAUAUUUGAAUACAAGAUAAUAUACACUCUACAUCAAAACCAUAUGGUAUGGCGACCACCAAUCCCUUGAAGCGACCAAUGCAUGCACAAAUGAACUCCCCCAGAAAAAGAUUCAACUCAAAAAAUUGGUUGACAGUACCAAUGACGAAUUAUGGAAAGAAAAGCAAGCCCCAACCUUACAGCCACAAGACAGAAGAGUGGAACUAUGUGGAUAGGAUGGACUGGAGCAUAAGCUGCUGCUGUGGUUGCAAGGUGGAAAAUGUUGAGGCAAGAAAAUC
rnacentral:lncRNA from 1 species